GAAUUUAAUAUAAUUUUUUAUUUAUAAUUUUAUUAAAAAUUAAAUAAAAAUUUAAAAUAAUUAAUUAUAAUUUAAUUGGGAGGAUUUUUAAAUUUAAUUAACUUUAAAUUUUAAUUAUAUUAUAAAUUAAUUAAUAAAUAAAAUUUAGAAUGAUUAAUAAAUUAAAUAAGAAUUAAUUACCUUAGGGAUAACAGCGUAAUAUUUUUAUAAAGAUCUUAUUAAUAAAAAUGAUUGC
rnacentral:rRNA from 1 species